rnacentral:rRNA from 1 species
CAGGCUUAACACAUGCAAGUCGAGGGGCAGCAUGGUCUUAGCUUGCUAAGGCCGAUGGCGACCGGCGCACGGGUGAGUAACACGUAUCCAACCUGCCGUCUACUCUUGGACAGCCUUCUGAAAGGAAGAUUAAUACAAGAUGGCAUCAUGAGUCCGCAUGUUCACAUGAUUAAAGGUAUUCCGGUAGACGAUGGGGAUGCGUUCCAUUAGAUAGUAGGCGGGGUAACGGCCCACCUAGUCUUCGAUGGAUAGGGGUUCUGAGAGGAAGGUCCCCCACAUUGGAACUGAGACACGGUCCAAACUCCUACGGGAGGCAGCAGUGAGGAAUAUUGGUCAAUGGGCGAGAGCCUGAACCAGCCAAGUAGCGUGAAGGAUGACUGCCCUAUGGGUUGUAAACUUCUUUUAUAAAGGAAUAAAGUCGGGUAUGGAUACCCGUUUGCAUGUACUUUAUGAAUAAGGAUCGGCUAACUCCGUGCCAGCAGCCGCGGUAAUACGGAGGAUCCGAGCGUUAUCCGGAUUUAUUGGGUUUAAAGGGAGCGUAGAUGGAUGUUUAAGUCAGUUGUGAAAGUUUGCGGCUCAACCGUAAAAUUGCAGUUGAUACUGGAUAUCUUGAGUGCAGUUGAGGCAGGCGGAAUUCGUGGUGUAGCGGUGAAAUGCUUAGAUAUCACGAAGAACUCCGAUUGCGAAGGCAGCCUGCUAAGCUGCAACUGACAUUGAGGCUCGAAAGUGUGGGUAUCAAACAGAAUUAGAUACCCUGGUAGUCCACACGGUAAACGAUGAAUACUCGCUGUUUGCGAUAUACUGCAAGCGGCCAAGCGAAAGCGUUAAGUAUUCCACCUGGGGAGUACGCCGGCAACGGUGAAACUCAAAGGAAUUGACGGGGGCCCGCACAAGCGGAGGAACAUGUGGUUUAAUUCGAUGAUACGCGAGGAACCUUACCCGGGCUUAAAUUGCAGAUGAAUUACGGUGAAAGCCGUAAGCCGCAAGGCAUCUGUGAAGGUGCUGCAUGGUUGUCGUCAGCUCGUGCCGUGAGGUGUCGGCUUAAGUGCCAUAACGAGCGCAACCCUUGUUGUCAGUUACUAACAGGUUCCGCUGAGGACUCUGACAAGACUGCCAUCGUAAGAUGUGAGGAAGGUGGGGAUGACGUCAAAUCAGCACGGCCCUUACGUCCGGGGCUACACACGUGUUACAAUGGGGGGUACAGAGGGCCGCUACCACGCGAGUGGAUGCCAAUCCCCAAAACCUCUCUCAGUUCGGACUGGAGUCUGCAACCCGACUCCACGAAGCUGGAUUCGCUAGUAAUCGCGCAUCAGCCACGGCGCGGUGAAUACGUUCCCGGGCCUUGUACACACCGCCCGUCAAGCCAUGGGAGCCGGGGGUACCUGAAGUGCGUAACCGCGAGGAGCGCCCUAGGGUAAAACUGGUGACUGGGGCUAAG